rnacentral:rRNA from 1 species
UACGGGGGGGGCUAGCGUUGUUCGGAAUUACUGGGCGUAAAGCGUGCGUAGGCGGUUUAGUGUGUGGGAAUUGAAAGCCCGGGGCUCAACUCCGGAUCCGGUUCCCAAACUGCUAGACUCGAGCGUAUCAGAGGACAGUGGAAUUCCCGGUGUAGCGGUAAUAUGCGUAGAUAUCGGGAGGAACACCAGUGGCGAAGGCGACUGUCUGGGGUAUUGCUGACGCUGAGGUACGAAAGCCAGGGGAGCGAACGGG